UGGGGAAUUUUCCGCAAUGGGCGAAAGCCUGACGGAGCAAUGCCGCGUGGAGGUGGAAGGCCUACGGGUCGUCAACUUCUUUUCUCGGAGAAGAAACAAUGACGGUAUCUGAGGAAUAAGCAUCGGCUAACUCUGUGCCAC
rnacentral:rRNA from 1 species